rnacentral:rRNA from 1 species
GAUGAACGCUGGCGGCGUGCUUAACACAUGCAAGUCGAACGGAAAGGCCCUGCUAUUGUGGGGUGACCGAGUGGCGAACGGGUGAGUAACACGAGAGUAACCUGCCCUUGACUUUGGGGUAACUUAAGGUAACUGGGGUUAAUACCGGAUAGGAGAUCCCGUUGCAUGGUGGGGGUUGGAAAGUUUCGGCGGUCGGGGAUGGACUAGCGGCUUAUCAGUUUGCUGGUGGGGUAGUGGAUUACCGAGGCUUUGAAGGGUAGGCGGCAUGGGAGGGGGACCGGCCACAAUGGUACUGAGGUACGGCCCAGACGCCAACGGGAGGCAGCAGUGGGGAGUAUUACACAGUGAGCGGGAGCCUGAUGCGGCGACGCCGCGUGCGGAAAGACGGCCUUCGGGUAAUAAACCGCAUUCGCCUGUUACGAAGCGGUAGUGACGGUAAUGAGUGAAGAAGCACCGGCUAACUACGUG